rnacentral:rRNA from 1 species
CGCCGCCGCGGUAACCCCGACGGUGCAGUGUUGACCACGUUCAUUGGGUCUAAAGGGUCCGUAGGCGUUCUGUAAUUUCUUGUGAAAUUGUUGCGCUUAACGUGCAAACUGCCGAGAUACUAUAGACCUGGAAACUGGGAGGCGUAAGCGGUAUUCUUGGGGGAGCGGUAAAAUGUUAUAAUCCCAAGAGGACUACCUGUGCCGAAGGGGGCUUACGAAUACAGAUCCGACUGUGAGGGACGAAAGCUUGGGAGCGAAAAGGAUUAGAUACCCUUGUAGUCCUAGCCGUAAACACUGUCAUACAGAUAUGGCAUAAUACACUGUUUUGUGCCGUAUCGCAGCAUUAGUGCAAGCUGACCACCUGGGAAUUAUAGUCGCAAGGCUGAAACUUAAAGGGCUGGGGGAGGGCAAGCAC